UCUCCGUAGGUGAACCUGCGGAGGGAUCAUUACACAAAUAUGAAGGCGGGCUGGAACCUCUCGGGGUUACAGCCUUGCUGAAUUAUUCACCCUUGUCUUUUGCGUACUUCUUGUUUCCUUGGUGGGUUCGCCCACCACUAGGACAAACAUAAACCUUUUGUAAUUGCAAUCAGCGUCAGUAACAAAUUAAUAAUUACAACUUUCAACAACGGAUCUCUUGGUUCUGGCAUCGAUGAAGAACGCAGCGAAAUGCGAUAAGUAGUGUGAAUUGCAGAAUUCAGUGAAUCAUCGAAUCUUUGAACGCACAUUGCGCCCUUUGGUAUUCCAAAGGGCAUGCCUGUUCGAGCGUCAUUUGUACCCUCAAGCUUUGCUUGGUGUUGGGCGUCUUGUCUCUAGCUUUGCUGGAGACUCGCCUUAAAGUAAUUGGCAGCCGGCCUACUGGUUUCGGAGCGCAGCACAAGUCGCACUCUCUAUCAGCAAAGGUCUAGCAUCCAUUAAGCCUUUUUUUCAACUUUUGACCUCGGAUCAGGUAGGGAUACCCGCUGAACUUAAGCAUAUCAAUAGCCGGGAGGAA
rnacentral:rRNA from 1 species